rnacentral:snRNA from 1 species
GUCACUUGUAGGCCUUUGGGCUAAGAUCAAGUGUAGUAUCUGUUCUUAUCAGUUUAAAACAUAGUAAUUUGACUAUAUAUGUCUUUAGUAGGAUCUACCCCAAGGACAAAAAAC